UUGGAGGGCAAGUCUGGUGCCAGCAGCCGCGGUAAUUCCAGCUCCAAUAGCGUAUAUUAAAGUUGUUGCAGUUAAAAAGCUCGUAGUUGAAUUUCGGGAUCAAAUUGUCGGUCGUGCCUCGGUACGCACUGGUAUUAUUGGUUCCUACCUUCUGAAGAACCGCGAUGUCAUUAAUUCGGUGUCGUGGGGAAUCAGGACUGUUACUUUGAAAAAAUUAGAGUGUUUAAAGCAGGCUUACGCUUGAAUACAUUAGCAUGGAAUAAUGAAAUAGGACGUUUGAUUCUAUUUUGUUGGUUUCUAGGAUUGACGUAAUGAUUAAUAGGGAUAGUUGGGGGCAUUAGUAUUCAAUUGUCAGAGGUGAAAUUCUUGGAUUUAUUGAAGACUAACUACUGCGAAAGCAUUUGCCAAGGAUGUUUUCAUUAAUCAAGAACGAAAGUUAGGGGAUCGAAGACGAUCAGAUACCGUCGUAGUCUUAACCAUAAACUAUGCCGACUAGGGAUCGGAUGAUGUUAAUUUUUUAAUGACUCAUUCGGCGCCUUACGGGAAAC
rnacentral:rRNA from 1 species